CUGAAGUUUUGGCCGCAAGGUCACUCUUCCACCCUUUGUUUAUAACACCUUUGUUGCUUUGGCGGGCCGCCCUAGGCCACCGGCGUCAGCUGGUGCGCGCCCGCCAGAGGCCCAAACAACCUGUUUUAUAGUGUUUGUCUGAGUAAAAACUUAAUUGUUA
rnacentral:misc_RNA from 1 species